rnacentral:rRNA from 1 species
AUUGAACGCUGGCGGCAGGCCUAACACAUGCAAGUCGAGCGAGCGGUGGACAGGUGAGUAAUGUAUGGGGACUGCCCGCUAGAGGGGGGUAACUACUGGAAAAGGUGGCUAAUACCGCAUACUAUCGGAUAACCCAUAUAGGAUUAGCUCGUAGGUAGGGUAAUGGCUUACCUAGGCGACGCUCCCUAGCUGGUCUGAGAGGAUGAUCAGCCACACUGGGACUGAGACACGGCCCAGACUCCUACGGAGGCAGCAGUGGGGAAUAUUGCACAAUGGGGGAAAGCCUGAUGCAGCCAUGCCGCGUGUAUGAAGAAGGCCCUAGGGUUGUAAAGUACUUUCAGUCGGGAGGCGUUACCGACAGAAGAAGCACCGGCUAACUACGUGCCAGCCGCCGCGGUAAUAC